UUAUAAUAUUCACAUACUUUGUUGAAACCGAAACAAGAAAGAUUAAGAAGAUCUAGAGACAUCCGUUUAGGCGCCAAAUAUGCAGAGAUGUGCCGGGAUUUCCUAAAAAUAUAAAAUCAGAAUGGCUGAAAGAGGGGAACUUGAAAUAAUUCAGAAAGGUCAUGACUUGGAUCCUACAUGUACACCUUGCAGAGAUGAAAAUAUGAGAAUUGAGGCGUUUUAUUAUUGUUCUGAGUGCCAAGAGUACCUCUGUACACGCUGUGGAAGACAACAUAGUCGACGAAAAGCUACGAGUGAUCAUGAACUACAAACUGCUAAAGUCUCCACUGACAGGAAGACAUUGACUUCCAGGACUAAAUGCCGUGACCACCCGGACCGUGACAUUGAGAUGUACUGCAGCACGCAUGACAUGGUAUCUUGU